UCAAAUGCGUCUAUCGCAUUUGAAAAAUCUGGACUCUGGAGUGGGAUAGCUCCUGUGCCAGUUGCGACGCGGACCUUUCUCUGCAGAAACGCCCCUGAGACGUUUCCCACCUGGCUUUCUCCUCACCCGCCUGCCGGUCAGAUCCCCGCUGUAAUCCGCCCUAACGCCGCUGUUGGCCGUCAAGGUUUGUCGUGUGCGUGCGCUAAUACGACGAGGCGACGAAACAUCUACGGGGUCGUAACGGUCCUCUGAGGGAAAUCGGAACCACAAUGCGGCCCGUCGACAUCCCCGCUUUCGUCGAACGGCUUGCGGGAAGAGACUGGAGCGAACGGGUCCAUUUGAAGCUUUCAAAGUACUCUUGAUACAAUCCACGUUAAAUGAGGACACAGCACUGGGCUUUCGCAUCGGGCUCGGAUGAAGCCAAAGCCCGGAUUUCCGGCAGCCUUUCCACCGAUUGCUGUGCCCUCGACAUGAGACCGAUCCAGACUGGGCUCACUAAACUUAUUUGGAUUCUCUGAAUAGAAACUUUUCACUGUAACAAGUUCCUUAUGUUCAAUUCGGAGUAAUUAUGAUUGAUUGAUAGCUCGAGUCGUGAAUAAUGAAAUACUCUUGAGUAAUGCUCGCACAGUGGUGGAUUUUUUUUUUAAAUCUUUUAUUUUAGGUUAGACCUAAGGAAGACCGAGGUCAACUUCUCAACUCGUUAGCUGAAACCAACAUUACCGCUAACAUACUACAUUUUGUAAUUACCCCAAUGAUUUAUUAUUAGGCACCCCUUUGUCAUUUUAGAUGUACUAUAUCAAUUAUUAUUAUUAUUAUUAUAUUGUUGUCCAUUAGGCACGGUGGCCGACCGGUUAGAGCCUCAGCCUCACGGUUCUGAGGACGUGGGUUCAAUCCCCGGCCCCGACCGACUGUGUGGAGUUUGCGUGUUCUCCCCGUGCCUGCGUGGCUUUUCUCCGGGCACUCCGGAGUGCGAAUGGUUGUUUGUUUGUUGGUCUGUGCCCUGCGAUUGGCUGGCUACCGGUUCAGGCUGUACCCCGCCUCCUGCCCGAUGACAGCUGGGAUAGGCUCCGGCACGCCCGCGACCCGCGUGAGGAGAAGCACUACAGAAAAUGGCUGGAGGUUGGCCAUUAGUGAGUGACAAGUGAAUGUUCAGAUUCCCGACGUUGUGAAUUGGAACAAGUGAAGAGCCCACCAGGAAUGUGGUUGCUCCAAGUGAAGGAUGAGAGGCGUCGAGCUACGUCUAACGAGCCAUCCAAUCACAACGUGGCCCUGUCCCUUUAAAGUACGACUCCUCCCCCUCUGCCCCGUCAGCGCAAGAUGGCGGCCGUGCUCGAAGGUGAAGUGUACCUGGGCUUCGAUUUCAGCACUCAGCAGCUAAAGGUGCUUGCCAUCGAUCACAACCUCAACGUCAUCCACCAGGACCAAGUGCAUUUUGACUCGCAACUGCCAGAGUUCAGGACGGAGGGGGGCGUCCACGUGGGUACGGAUGGUCUGACGGUCACGUCGCCCGCCCUCAUGUGGGUCCAGGCUCUGGACCUCCUAUUGGAGCAGAUGCGGGCAGCGGGCUUUGACUUCUCCAGGGUGCGAGCGCUGUCGGGCAGCGGUCAGCAACACGGCAGCGUCUAUUGGAAGAACGGAGCGGCCGCGACCCUCCGGCGGCUCCGCCACCAUUUCAGUCUGAGCCACCAGCUCAAGGACUGUUUCUCCGUGCGCGACUGCCCCGUGUGGAUGGACUCGAGCAGCGGGCGCCAGUGUGCGCGCCUGCAGGAGGCGGCAGGGGGCGCCGCCAAGCUGGCAGACAUCACGGGCUCCAGGGCCUAUGAGCGUUUCACAGGAAGUCAAAUUGCCAAAAUGCGGGAGGAACGACCACAACAGUUCCGGGACACUGAGAGGAUCUCAUUGGUCAGCAGCUUCGCGGCAUCACUCUUCCUCGGCGGUUACGCCGCCAUCGACUACAGUGACGGUUCCGGAAUGAACCUUCUGGACAUCAGGAGCAAAAAGUGGAGCGAGGUGUGCCUGGAGGCCGUGUGUCCCGGUCUGGACCUCCUGCUGGGAACGCCGCUGCCGUCCGCGUCCGUGCUGGGCGCCGUGUCGUCCUACUGGGUUCGCAGGUUCGGGUUCUCGGACACGUGCGCGGUGGUUGCCUUCACCGGAGACAACCCAGCGUCUUUGGCAGGAAUGAGACUCCAGCAGGGAGACCUGGCUGUGAGUCUGGGCACUAGCGACACGGCGUUCGUGUGGCUGCAGGACGCUCGUCCGGCUCUCGAAGGUCACGUGUUCGUCAAUCCCGUGGACUGGCGACAAUUCAUGGCCUUGUUGUGCUUCAAGAACGGAUCUUUGACCCGAGAGCGGCUGAGGAACCGCUGUGCUCGAGCGUCAUGGGAACUUUUCUCCGCUGCUUUGAGACGAACUCCUCUCGGAAACAACGGAUGCAUCGGCUUUUAUUUCGACGUGAUGGAGAUCACGCCCCCUGCGCUGGGAGUUCAUCUCUUUGAUGCCGAUGACAAUGAGGUGGCGUCCGUGAGCGCUCAGAUGGAGGUGCGGGCCCUGGUGGAGGGUCAGUUCCUGUCACGCCGACUCCACGCCGAGCAUCUGGGUUACUCCGUCGUUCCAGGAAGUCGAAUUUUGGCAACGGGCGGAGCCUCGUGUAACAAAGACAUCCUGCAGGUGUUGUGUGACGUGUUUAAUGCCCCAGUUUACACCAUUGACGUGUCCGACUCGGCUUGCCUCGGCUCCGCCUACAGAGCGCUGCACGCGGAAGGAAGGAAGGUGUGCUCGACCAAUCAGGAAUCUCCUUUUUUGAUGUCCUGAAGAAAGCUCCGGAAGCACGACUUGCCGCCACCCCGCAGCCCCGUGCGCAACAGGUGUACAAUGAGAUGCUGCAACGUUUCGCCCGACUGGAGAAGAAAGUCCUGCAGGAGCUCCGCCCCUGAACAGUUGACACUCACCUGAUUGGCCAACAUGAACCCGAACUCAAGUUUGUGUUCAAUGAUGACGAAUGUGCAGAAUGCAUCCCAUAAUAACAGGACUAGCCUUUAGGCAUAAUGAUUCCGUACACCAUCCUGUCACCCCAAUUGCACACGUGUGCAUGUUGCAGCAGAAAGCAAAGGUUGGCAUGCGCGUGUGCAAUGUUCUGGCAUCAACAUCGGGGGGGGGGGCGGGGCCAUCUUUGUAAUUAGGAUGGCGCAUUUCUUCAGUUGGCUAAAUUAAGACAUGGAAGUGAUGAACACAACAGACAAACAUUUGUUUACACAAACACGAAAAAGUCCUUAAACAAGACGUCACACAAGAAUUUUCAAUGAGACUAAUUGUCUUCAUAAUGAAGUCGAAUACUUGAUGAAUCUUCAUUAAAGAGGACAUUAUGUGAA